AGCUUCAAGUGACAUCAUCCAGUAAUAUACUCUACACAAACCAAAUCAGAUACACAGGUAGAGAAUCCAGCAAAGACAUCUAAGUAUAGGAGAAAAGCAAUACAAACUCAUUGAAGUCCCAUGAUCGGAAAACAGAUGCAAGGAAAAAACAGAAGAGGAAGCUAAUAAAGCUAGCAGAAUCAACUGGAUAGUAUUUCUUACCACAGAAGGUUGGCCCUUUGAAAAUUCACAGCUUUGUCAGUGCUAGUGAACUUUUGAGGUGGAAAUUAUUGCAUCAGAAAUAGCGGAAGAAAUGAGGGCAUAAAUAACUGCAGUAACAAAACCCUGAAAGCCAAACACAAGUAAAAUAGAUUUUUUGAGCACAAAAUUAAACAGAUAGCAUACCAAAGGAAGAUUAAAGCUAAAGUAAGUGAUUAUAAACUUAGACUGUUUUUCCCAUCCAAAUAGCCAUUCAUUGGUACAACAAAAGAUGGAAGGAGAAAUAUUUAAUGAUCCAUAAAAUAAAAUAAAAGAGAAAGAGAAGAAAACCAGCAAGACUGCAAGAGAUGAACAGAAAACCAACGAAGUAGGAGGAGGAGAUGAACAAGAAGAUGACCGGAAAAGAGAGA
rnacentral:lncRNA from 1 species